GACAGCAGUAGCCGCGGUAACACAGAGGGUGCGAGCGUUAAUCGGAUUUACUGGGCGUAAAGCGUGCGUAGGCGGCUUCUUAAGUCGGAUGUGAAAUCCCUGAGCUUAACUUAGGAAUUGCAUUCGAUACUGGGAAGCUAGAGUAUGGGAGAGGAUGGUAGAAUUCCAGGUGUAGCGGUGAAAUGCGUAGAGAUCUGGAGGAAUACCGAUGGCGAAGGCAGCCAUCUGGCCUAAUACUGACGCUGAGGUACGAAAGCAUGGGGAGCAAACAGGAUUAGAGACCCCAGUAGUCCCUGUCUCUUAUAC
rnacentral:rRNA from 1 species